UACGGAGGGUGCAAGCGUUAUCCGGAUUUACUGGGUUUAAAGGGUGCGUAGGUGGGUUGGUAAGUCAGUGGUGAAAUACUUUCGCUUAACGAAGGAACUGCCAUUGAUACUAUCAAUCUUGAAUGUAGUGGAGGUAGGCGGAAUGCGUCAUGUAGCGGUGAAAUGCAUAGAUAUGUCACAGAACACCAAUUGCGAAGGCAGCUUACUAAAGUAUGAUUGACGCUGAGGCACGAAAGCGUGGGGAUCAAACAGG
rnacentral:rRNA from 1 species